rnacentral:rRNA from 1 species
CACGUAGGGCGCGAGCGUUGACCGGAAUUAUUGGGCGUAAAGAGCUCGUAGGCGGUCUGUCGCGUCGGCUGUGAAAACUCGGGGCUCAACUCCGAGCUUGCAGUCGAUACGGGCAGGCUAGAGUUCGGCAGGGGAGACUGGAAUUCCUGGUGUAGCGGUGAAAUGCGCAGAUAUCAGGAGGAACACCGGUGGCGAAGGCGGGUCUCUGGGCCGAUACUGACGCUGAGGAGCGAAAGCGUGGGGAGCGAACAGG